UAUUAUUUUUGAUGUUAAUUAUUUAACUUGAGUAGUAAUAGUUAUGGUCUUGAAACUUAAAGAAUUUGGCAGUAUUUUAUUCUGUUCAGAGGAACCUGUUCUUUUAUCGAUAAUCCUCGUUGGACCUUACUUAAUUUAUUGAUUUGUAUACCGCCGUUUUAUUGAGGAUCUUUAUAGUGUUUUUAAUUUUCUGGUUUUUAUUUUAAAUUAUUUCAGGUCAAGGUGCAAUUUAUGGUUAAGUAGAAAUGGGUUACGUUUAUAUUUACUUUUGAAUUAUUAAAUGGAAUUUUAAUAUGAAAAUGGAUUUGAAUGUAAUUAUUAUUUUAGAUUGUAUUAGUGAUUUAGUUUCUGGAAUGUGUACACAUCGCCCGUCGCUCUCGUUAUUUAUUCGAG
rnacentral:rRNA from 1 species